UACGUAGGGUGCGAGCGUUGUUCGGAAUUACUGGGCGUAAAGGGCGCGUAGGCGGCCCGCUAAGUCGAACGUGAAAUCCCCGAGCUCAACUCGGGAACUGCGUCCGAUACUGGUGGGCUUGAAUCCGGGAGAGGGAUGCGGAAUUCCAGGUGUAGCGGUGAAAUGCGUAGAUAUCGGGAGGAACAUCAGUGGCGAAGGCGGCCUUCUGGUCCAGUACUGACACUCAAGUGCGAAAGCGUGGGGAGCAAACAGGG
rnacentral:rRNA from 1 species